UACGUAGGGGGCUAGCGUUGUCCGGAAUUAUUGGGCGUAAAGGGCUCGUAGGCGGUUUGUCGCGUCGGGAGUGAAAACCCAGGGCUUAACUCUGGGCUUGCUUUCGAUACGGGCAGACUAGAGGUAUGCAGGGGAGAACGGAAUUCCUGGUGUAGCGGUGAAAUGCGCAGAUAUCAGGAGGAACACCGGUGGCGAAGGCGGUUCUCUGGGCAUUACCUGACGCUGAGGAGCGAAAGUGUGGGGAGCGAACAGG
rnacentral:rRNA from 1 species